CCUACGGGUGGCAGCAGUGAGGAAUAUUGGUCAAUGGACGAGAGUCUGAACCAGCCAAGUAGCGUGAAGGAUGACUGCCCUAUGGGUUGUAAACUUCUUUUAUAUGGGAAUAAAAUGUUCCACGUGUGGGAUUUUGUAUGUACCAUAUGAAUAAGGAUCGGCUAACUCCGUGCCAGCAGCCGCGGUAAUACGGAGGGUCCGAGCGUUAUCCGGAUUUAUUGGGUUUAACGGGAGCGUAGGUGGAUUGUUAAGUCAGUUGUGAAAGUUUGCGGCUCAACCGUAGAAUUGCAGUUGAAACUGGCAGUCUUGAGUACAGUAGAGGUAGGCGGAAUUCGUGGUGUAGCGGUGAAAUGCUUAGAUAUCACGAAGAACUCCGAUUGCGAAGGCAGUUCACUGGACUGCAACUGACACUGAGGCUCGAAAGUGUGGGUAUCAAACAGGAUUAGAUACCCGAGUAGUC
rnacentral:rRNA from 1 species